rnacentral:rRNA from 1 species
UGCCAGCCGCCGCGGUAACACGAACUGCGCAAACGUUAUUCGGAAUCACUGGGCUUAAAGAGUUCGUAGGCGGCUAAGCAGGUGAGGUGUGAAAUCCCUCGGCUCAACCGAGGAACUGCGCUUCAAACCGCUUGGCUUGAGGGAGACAGAGGUGAGCGGAACUGAUGGUGGAGCGGUGAAAUGCGUUGAUAUCAUCAGGAACACCAGUGGCGAAGGCGGCUCACUGGGUCUCUUCUGACGCUGAGGAACGAAAGCUAGGGGAGCGAACGGGAUUAGAUA